ensembl:lncRNA
CUCGGAAUUGGUGUAAUUCAGAGAAAUUAAUGACGACUUUCCGCGGGACUGCUCCCUGGGGGAUGAUUAACACUUCAUCGUCCAUCUGAUGCGCGGGGCCCAGCGCUCCAUCGCGAACAUUUGGGCCGUGGCCAGCCGCAUUAAAGAUUUCAUGAAACUCCUUACCAAGAGGAAAGACUUGGUACUUUGUCAUUGGUUGCAAGAAAAUUGUGGAGAGAGAAGUCGCUGGGAAUGCAGAGUCUUGAAGCUUUCCAAACAGGAGAAGUUUCCAAUCCACCGAGUGUCACCCCCUUGGGGAUGCCGAGCUGCUCCACUCUGCCCUGUGCCCUCUCAUGACAGGGCCCACGUGCUGCUCCGCCUCCUCCCAUUGUUGCCAUUGCCAAAAUUCAGACAGGCAUCCACCCUGGCUGGAUAGGGAUCUUUAUGGGGCUAAACCUGUGCCUCUGGACAAAAUAACAACUAGAAACACCUGAACUUUUCUCCAAACCUGGUACCUCUCCCCAGCUCACGAUGAGUCAGUUUUCUGUCUACAAAAUGGGAGCAGCUUGGACCCUUACUCUUGAGGAAGGGAGAAAAGGAGCUGGACACUAAUGAUCGUUUUCUGAUGUUGAAGAUGAUCAGGGUUAUUAUUGUUUCCUCCUUGGAGAAGCCAGACAACCAUCAGCCUGACUCUAAACACAGGUAGUUCAACACAGGCACUGCCCUGAGGGCUCCUGGAGGCUCUACUCCUUCCUCCUCUCUCCUUAGCCCACAUCUGCCAAUCCUACUGUAACUACAACUGGGGGAGAAAGCAUGGCGCCCGGUUCUCUGAUCUACUCCCUCUAGGCCUCAUUUGCACAUCCUGGGGCAGAGUUUACACUCCCUCAAAUCCCAGAUAUAGCUCCUGUCCCAGCCUCCUGCACAGAGUGUGGAGGCUAAUAGUCCUCUCAGACCAACUAGGAAGUGACAAUGGCAGGACCUCACAUACAGAUGCCUGUGGUGGUGGUCAGUCAUUUGGUGGUGUCCCACUCUGUGCGACCCCAUGGACAGUAGCCCACCAGGCUCCUCUGUCCAUGGGGUUCUCCAGGUAAGAAUACUGGAGUAGGUUGCCAUGCUCUACUCCAGGGGGUCUUCCUGACCCAGGGAUCAAACCUACGACUCCUGCAUUAGCAGGCAGAUUCUUUACCACUGAGCCACCAGGGAAGCCCUGUGAUCCUCUAAACAUACUGGUGCACAAAAGAUCCCUAAAUCUCUGUUCUUAGAUGACACAAUACUUGCUUUAGCCCAGUCUACCAGUCGCAUAGGUGUUACCUUCUUGGAAAACAUCAGUGUUCCAGUUUUCUGAGGAUUGAAAAAAGGCAGUUUGAUUUAGAAAAAUGACAAAAUGUGCAAGUCAAAAGAGGGUUGGGAUGGGGCUUCCCUGGCUCAGUGGUAAAGAAUAUACCUGCCAAUGCAAGAGGUUUGAUCCCUGAUCCGGGAAGAUCCUACGUGACUCAGAACAACUAAGCCCAUGUGACACAAUUACUGGGCCCGUGCUCCAGAGCCUGGGAGCUGCAGCUGCUGAAGCCAGCACGGGCCUGUGCGCCCCCACAAGAGAAGCCACUGCAAUGGGAAGCCUGCACACUCCAACUAGAGAGAAGCCACCUAUCAAGGCAGCUGGACAAAAGCCCACACAGCAACGAAGACCCAGCACAGCCAAAAUAAAUUAAAAAAAAUAAUAAUAAUAAGGUUGGUG